rnacentral:rRNA from 1 species
CAGUCGCCGCGGUAAUACGUAGGGUGCGAGCGUUGUCCGGAAUUAUUGGGCGUAAAGAGCUUGUAGGCGGUUUGUCGCGUCUGCCGUGAAAGCCCAGGGCUUAACCCUGGGUCUGCGGUGGGUACGGGCAGGCUAGAGUGUGGUAGGGGAGACUGGAAUUCCUGGUGUAGCGGUGAAAUGCGCAGAUAUCAGGAGGAACACCGAUGGCGAAGGCAGGUCUCUGGGCCAUUACUGACGCUGAGAAGCGAAAGCAUGGGGAGCGAACAGGAUUAGAUACCCGCGUAGUCCCUGUCUCUUAUAC